rnacentral:rRNA from 1 species
AAAUUGAAGAGUUUGAUCAUGGCUCAGAUUGAACGCUGGCGGCAGGCCUAACACAUGCAAGUCGAACGGUAACAGGAAGCAGCUUGCUGCUUUGCUGACGAGUGGCGGACGGGUGAGUAAUGUCUGGGAAACUGCCUGAUGGAGGGGGAUAACUACUGGAAACGGUGGCUAAUACCGCAUAACGUCGCAAGACCAAAGAGGGGGACCUUCGGGCCUCUUGCCAUCAGAUAUGCCCAGAUGGGAUUAGCUUGUUGGUGAGGUAACGGCUCACCAAGGCGACGAUCCCUAGCUGGUCUGAGAGGAUGACCAGCCACACUGGAACUGAGACACGGUCCAGACUCCUACGGGAGGCAGCAGUGGGGAAUAUUGCACAAUGGGCGCAAGCCUGAUGCAGCCAUGCCGCGUGUAUGAAGAAGGCCUUCGGGUUGUAAAGUACUUUCAGCGGGGAGGAAGGUGUUG